CUGCCUUGCUCCGCACUGCCUUGCUCUACUCCGGUCCGCCGUGCUUCGCCGCCGCUCCCAUCUUCUCCGGUCGCCGUCACCCCUCCUCGAAGGCCAUCUGCCAUUGCGGCCGUGAGCUUCCGGUGAGGCCGCCGCUGGUAUUCAAUUGGAAGGCAAAGCAAUCGAAGCAGAAUAGACAAUGGCUCUAAGGCGUAUGCUUGGAUUCUCUGAUGGAGAAUUGAUGCGGUCGGAUGCAAAACCAUGUUCGCGACUGAUGAGGCACACUGCUGGCAUUUGUUCAGUCGGAGGAGCAUUGGGCUUUUGGACGCUCUGCCGCUUGUAUUAUGGUCCUAGAAUAACAGUUCCUCGAACUCUUAGGUGGGCUGCUUGUGGUGCUGUCUCCAUGAGUGCAACCACAGCUUUGUUAGUUCGUCUACUCAGCCCUGAAUGUGAACCCCAAAACAUAGCUGCUUACGACCAGAAAAGAUGACGUUGGUGGUACGUUGCUACUUCUUUGGUGUCUACUAUGUGGUAGUCGAAGCUUCUUUGAAGAAACUCGUUGUAGCUAGAUAAAUGGAUGAGAUGCAAUAUAUAAAUCUGGGUGCCAGAAUGACAAGAAUCUGGGAGAGUUGAUCAACUCAUGUGUUGGAAUCAGAUGGAGUGGCAAAACCGGCAUGAUGCAGCAAAGAAGAAAAUAGAUAAAUAUUACUAUCACCUGCAGCAGCUGCCCCAACAACAUCUCUCUUGGAGUCCCUCUCGUUGAGAACCAGCCGAGUCUGGUAGUGGCCAUUUCUGGUGUAGAAAUCCGAGAGCGCCAUUGUGAUGCAGCUCAACCCCAUUUUUCCGACAUAAUCGUCCAUGUCUAGCACCACUCCAACCCUCACAGGGAAAGGCGUGCUCUGCGCCGUGGCGCUAUUCAUGGACAAAGUGUUCAAGAAGAGAACCAAAACAACAAGAGGAGCCUCCAACUUCAUCUUGUUCAGCUCUCAAAAUUCAUGAGUUGAUGAUUAUUUUGGGCACAGUUAUACAUCCAAAAUUUGGAGAGGUAUUUGCAUGCUGUCAUUGACUCUAUAAGUUACUUGUGCCAACAUAAUAUUAAUUGUCGAUGGUUACAUUGAAAUCGAUUUGUGGGAUAGAAUAUGAGAUGGAAUUUUCCUGCGA